GUGAGUCAAUUAAAUCUCUCUCUCUCUCUCUUUCUUUAAUAAAUUACCCAGUCUCAGGUAGCUAUUUAUAGCAGUGUGAAAGGGGACUAAUACACUGCUCCACCCUGUCUAAGGUUACACUACUGAUCCUAGCAUUGCAUUCUCAUUCCUUUGCUUGUUUUCUUCAGAGAAAUGCCCUUGCUUAAUUAUCUUUAAGUGUAAUCACACACACAUACACGAGAAUGCAAGCUCCAGACAGCAGGGACCAUGUCUGUUACAUUUGCCACUUUAUCCCCAGCAUCUGGAACUGUGCCUAAUGGCAGAGAGUUGCUGCUCAAAGAAUACUCAGCAAUGGGUGGUGAAGGAGUCAGGUGAUCCCAUUAGGAUCACCUAGAAAUACCACGCCGGGCCUGUGCUCCACCCACACAUGCUCCAAAUCGCUGCCUUCCCGCUGCAACUACUGUUUGGUGAAGCCUAGGAUGUCGGUUUGCCCUGUUCUGACUCGUUCACGUUGAUUACUCAAUUAACAGUCCUGCCAGUUUUCUCCAAUGUAAAAUGAAGUCUCGCUCUGUCUCCCAGGCUGGA